CUUUGAUAGUAUCUAAGGGGCCAGCCACAGAUAAUUCCAGAGCCUUGCCUAGGGUCAUACCACAAGAAGUAAGUCAUCUGACCCCCAGGCCACCACGAUUUUCCUUUCAGCACCCACUUCUGAGCCUGAAAAGUCAAACUGGAGCUCCGGCUUAGGGCAGGGACUUCCACUCCAGGGGACCUGGGCACCGACCGGAAUGAAGUCCUGCUGCGCCGGCCAGAGGCGAAAGUGGGAUGUGGAUUGCAGUCUGGAAAAAUUAGGCUGGACUCGGAUCCUUGCGGCCCCAGCUGUGGACCAGCGCCUGACCCGAGCGCAUCCCUGAGUGAAUUAAUCCUCUUAUGACUAAAAGGUAACGUGGAAGGACGUCCUUUUGAUGUGGAAAAGCACCAUUUGUGACUCACAUUCAGACUGAUUAAGGAAUAAUUGUUGUUAAACGCUUUGCAAGAGGAAAGUGUUUAAUUG